AUUGAACGCUGGCGGCAUGCCUUACACAUGCAAGUCGAACGGCAGCGGGGGAGAAGCUUGCUUUUCCUGCCGGCGAGUGGCGAACGGGUGAGUAAUACAUCGGAACGUGCCCUGUAGUGGGGGAUAACGUAGGGAAACUUACGCUAAUACCGCAUACGACCUACGGGUGAAAGCAGGGGACCUUCGGGCCUCGCGCGGUUGACUGAGCCUGUGUCGGCUCAGCUAGUUGGCGGGGUAAAGGCCCACCAAGGCGACGAUCCGUAGCUGGGCUGAGAGGAUGAUCAGCCACACUGGAAAUGAGACACGGUCCAGACUCCUACGGGAGGCAGCAGUGGGGAAUAUUGGACAAGGGGCGCAAGCCUGAUCCAGCCAUACCGCGUGGGUGAAGAAGGCCUUCGGGUUGUAAAGCCCUUUUGUUGGGAAAGAAACCCAGCCAGUUAAUACCUGGUUGGGAUGACGGUACCCAAAGAAUAAGCACCGGCUAACUUCGUGCCAGCAGCCGCGGUAA
rnacentral:rRNA from 1 species